GUGAGGUAACGGCUUACCAAGGCGACGACGGGUAGCUGGUCUGAGAGGACGAUCAGCCACACUGGGACUGAGACACGGCCCAGACUCCUACGGGAGGCAGCAGUAGGGAAUCUUGCGCAAUGGGCGAAAGCCUGACGCAGCAACGCCGCGUGAGGGACGAAGGCUUUCUGAGUUGUAAACCUCUUUCAGCAGGGACGAUUGUGACGGUACCUGCAGAAGAAGCACCGGCCAACUACGUGCCAGCAGCCGCGGUGAUACGUAGGGUGCAAGCGUUGUCCGGAUUUAUUGGGCGUAAAGAGCUCGUAGGCGGUUCGAUAAGUCGGGUGUGAAAUCUCCAGGCUCAACCUGGAGUCGCCACUCGAUACUGUCGUGACUUGAGUUCGGUAGGGGACCACGGAAUUCCUGGUGUAGCGGUGAAAUGCGCAGAUAUCAGGAGGAACACCAGUAGCGAAGGCGGUGGUCUGGGCCGACACUGACGCUGAGGAGCGAAAGCGUGGGGAGCGAACAGGAUUAGAUACCCUGGUAGUCCACGCCGUAAACGUUGGGCACUAGGUGUGGGACCUAUUCAACGGGUUCCGUGCCGUAGCUAACGCAUUAAGU
rnacentral:rRNA from 1 species